rnacentral:tRNA from 1 species
UCCCCGGUGGCUCAGAUGGUAAAGCGUCUGUCUACAAUGCAGGAGACCUGGGUUCGAUCCCUAGGUGGGGAA